GGUCCCCGGUAAGGGAUGCGGCAGCCUGGGCUUGGGCAGGGAGAGAAGAGAGACAGAGAGAGGAAGGAAGGGGGGAGGGCGGGCGGCCAUUGUGCGGGGGAGCUGCCGCCUCGCUUCCUUCCCCUCCCCCUCCCCGCUCGCUUUCCGAACGCAGCCCCCUGUGCUGAGCCCCAUUUGCUCGGCAGCCUGGCGGCGGGGCGUGUCGGCGCGGCAGCAUCCCCUGCCCCCUCCCGGCCCUCCUCCUCCUCCUUCCCCCACCGCUCGCUUUCCUCUUCCUCCUUUCGUGCACUCACCGCUGAAACUUGUCUUCCCCCCCUUGCCCCCGUUAUCGGCGGGGAGAUCUCUCCCACCCGCUCUCGGCUGGCGGCCCCGCCGCACGCACGACCCCCGCUGCCGGCUCGGGGGGUGAGGGCUGCGGUACCGCUCUUCACUGAUGGAAUCACCAAUAAACUAAUUGGCUGCUACGUGGGUGAUAUAACAGACGAUGUGGUUCUAGUUAGAAUCUAUGGCAAUAAGACCGAGCUCUUAGUAGAUCGGGAUGAGGAAGUGAAGAGUUUCCGCGUGUUACAGGCUCACGGCUGUGCACCUCAACUGUACUGUACUUUUAAUAAUGGCCUGUGCUACGAGUUCAUGCAGGGAGAAGCACUGGAUCCAGAGCAUGUAUGCAAUCCAGAUAUUUUCAGACUCAUUGCCAGACAGCUGGCUAAAAUCCAUACUAUUCAUGCACACAAUGGAUGGAUCCCUAAAUCUAAUCUGUGGCUGAAGAUGGGGAAAUACUUCUCUCUCAUACCCACAGAAUUUAUGGAUGAAGAAGUAAAUAAAAGGUUUUUAAGUGACAUUCCAAGUUCUCAAGUUCUUCAGGAAGAGAUGGCCUGGAUGAAGGAAAGGCUGUCAAAUUUAGGAUCCCCAGUGGUACUCUGUCACAAUGACCUGUUGUGUAAGAAUAUUAUUUACAACAAGAAACGAGGAGUCUGUGGGUGCUCAGUGCUUCUGAAGACUGAGGUGAUGUGCAGUUCAUAGACUAUGAGUACUCUGGAUACAACUACCUGGCUUAUGACAUUGGAAAUCACUUCAAUGAAUUUGCAGGAGUAAAUGAGGUAGACUACAGCCUCUAUCCUAACAGAAAAUUACAGGAACAGUGGCUGAGAUCUUACCUUGAGGCCUACAAAGAAUAUAAAGGAUUUGGCACAGAAGUCAGUGAAAAAGAAGUGGAAGUUCUAUAUGUCCAAGUCAAUCAGUUUGCACUGGCUUCCCACUUCUUUUGGGGAUUGUGGGCUCUAAUUCAAGCCAAAUAUUCCACCAUUGACUUCGAUUUUCUAGGGUAUGCAAUUGUCCGGUUUAACCAGUAUUUCAAAAUGAAGCAGGAGGUCAUGACGUUAACUCUUCCUGAGUAAUGAAGAGGAAGAAACUUCCAAAGUGGAUAGACAACCCCUGAAUCUUCUCUGAGAACAGAUACUGGAAAAAAGAUAAACAUUUGUUGAAGUUCUGUAAUGCUCACUUGGUGGUUCUUGCUUUAUAAAUAAUGCCUCUGAACAGUCCUUCAAUGUUAAAUUUUAAUAUGAAGAGCAUACAUACUGCUGUUGAUAUAAAACAGAUUAGAAACUUGCUAAAUCUAUAAAAAAGUUGUAGAAAUUGCAAUUUAAUCCUUCUUUGUAAUUUAACAUAUGUUGUAUGUGAAUUAUUUAUUAUAAGUUUAACAUGAUUCCAUUGCUGCUUUCAUCAGUUUGUGUAAAAGUUGGGGUGCAGACAGUGAAGUUGUUCCAAAGGAUUCACUUAGCAAGUUAUUUUAUUGAAGUUGCAUUAACUUAUAUUAAAUAAAACAUGCUCAGAAUAUUUUAGGUGUAUACAAUCAAAAUAUGAGUGAUAAGAGACUUGUGAGGUCACCAGUGUGCUGUAACUAGGGAAAAAGGUUAGGAUCUUUAUUUUUCCCUCUUUUUUUAAAAAACAAAAAAAGAGAAAAAGAAAAAGGUAGCUUUCCCUGCAAUGGUACUUUUCUUUUGUAUAAGAAUCAACCAGCUUUUUGAAAGGUAGAUAACAUUUUGAUUUUUCCUUCUUGAUGUAUUAAUCUGUAGAAAUGUGGAGGUUCUGUAGACACCAGAUUCCUUGAGGAUAUGUACCAUCGUAGUGUUAGAUGGACAAUGUACCAUCUCCGACAUCUGUGGGAAAGCUACUUCUUUAAGUGUACCUUUAAAGACCACUAUUCCAAAUAUGUAUUCAUUUUGAAACUUUAUUCUAAAUUUGAACACUAUUCUGGUCUCUGUAUUUGAUGUGCUUCAGCAAUAUCUAGUGAAAUGGACUAUUGACCUGAAGAUUAGUGAACAGAGAUCCUGUUGCACUGGGGAGCAAGACACUUAGGUUUACAGUUUGUGUAUCGUUGACAUCUUUCUGCUUUGCCAUCUUCUGAUGUUGGAGUCUAGUCUUAAAUGCUUGGUCCUGUAGUUGCAGGUUCUGAUACGUCUUUUUUUUUUUCUGUGGCAGCAAAUUACUUAUCAAAGGCUCUAGUUUGAAGGAUAAUAUGGACAAAUAUAUAACUUGAACAAUGGGGCUUUGAUCAUCACACACACUUUCUUAUUUCUUAAAGCUAUUAUACUAAGAAUGGUCUGAAUUACAAAAUGUGAAUUGAAAAGAAAAUGUUUACUUAACAAAACAAUGUAUAAGUCUGAGUGGAAAAGAGGCUUUAAAUAUCAACGAGGGUGAGGGGGGCAAGAGGGGAAGAAACCCACAACAGAAAAAUAAAACCCAACAAUGCAGUGUGGAGUUGGGCAGGCAUGUACUCAGCUCUGAUCAUACUCUGAAAAACUUUGCACUUCGGUCACAUAAGUGCCCACGUGUACAAAGUCUGUGUGUGUGCAUAUACACAUGCAAACACAAACUUACCUGAAGAGUAAAUAUUAUGGGGAGUCUGUUGUACAGACUCCAGCAAAAAUAUUUAUUCAAAAUUGCUUUAUGGCACACUGUGUGUGUAUGUGUGUGUAUGUGUAUAUACACACACAUAUAUGCAUACAUGCUGUACAAAAGCUUGGAUUGAUUCAGGACAAAGACAACUGAUGUGAAUGAAAAAUUUUCACCUUGUGAGACCAUUUUGAAUGGCAUUCUGUUAUUUUACAAAAGCAAGGUUUGUGAAUUUUUUUUUUUCCUCUUGUUUAUUAAUCUCUGAAUGUUUCAUUUUUUUUUUUUUAAUUUCCUUCAGUCAAAUGCUUAAUCCUAAUUCAAAUGGGAGAACUGGCAUUUUUUGUAACUUGAAAUUAGGUAACCAUUUUUGUUAGCAUUUGUUAGCUGGAGGCUACUAUACUGGACAAAUUUCUUGGUAGUUAAAUAGAAACAAUAGCUAAAAUAAACAUUUAUAUUUUCCUUUGUAGCAGUUAUCAAGGAUGUUGCUAGAGCUCAAAGCACUGAGGACUUUCCGUACUUUCUCCCUGUUGACAUUCUUGAUGUAUGUUGCAUAAUACCCUUCUGUCUUGGUAGUCCCUUUAAGUUCAGCAAGAUCUGCUUGGAAGUAAGAUCGCUGAAGAUUUUUGAACUCGUAUUACUGUUUUGUUGAAGUGGUGGCUUUAUUUCUGGCAGUGUUGCUUUGUAUUUGUGAAAUAUUUGAAAAAGACUGUGAAGUUCACUUUGUCUUGGAAAAUCCAGCACUUGACGGAUCCUAGUUUUCCCAACAGUCGGCAAAACACAUUCCCUUUUCAGGUACCAGUACUAUUUAAGUUUGGAUUCAGUGUAAUUUUUUUUCAGUAGUAUUUUUGUUUGUAUAGCUCAAGUAGCAAUAACUGGAGGAGUGGAAGCUUGCUUCUGCAGAACCAAAGCUCUUCAUGAGUGCAGCUCAAUCUCAUUCUUGUGGAGUGAAGCUCCACCAAAUCCUGUAAAAGCACUUUGAAGCAGAUAGUAAAUACUGGAGGCUUUUCCUGAGCCACUUUGAAGAAGCACAAGGACUAUAACAGGUUACAGCGGUUGACUUUGUAGUACUGGUAGAGGCUUUAAUUUUGCAUGUUGAAAUUCAUUUUACACACUUAAAUGCUGCUUUGAGUCAGCUUUCUUUCAAGACAAGUGCAGAUUAAAAUAAUUCCUGAUAAGUUCUGAGGAAAUACUGUAAAACUUUUUCCAAAAUGGAACGCCAGUUACCUUGAGCCUUGUUCCACAUCCUUUUGAGCCAGUGGCACUCGGACAUUCUCACUUGCUAAGGAGUAUCUACAGGUGCAUUAAGUUGGAAGCACUAGUUUGCAAUAGCAGUGUAGAUUAUAAGGUAGCUUGAAACUGUGAAUACAGGACAUUCUGAAUGUAAAGUUAGGUACUAGGGCGCUGAGCUAGAGAACAUGUACUUGUUUCAUUUAAUUUAUCUCAGUCUUUUUAGUAGCAUUGUUAAGAUAUUUGAAGGAGGACAAAAAGAAAUUACUGAGCUCUAGAAACAUCCUGUAGUAGUUUUGACUGUGACUUGCCAAGAAGACAUUCUGUUGCCUUUAUGUUAAGCUAAGGGCAUGAAUGCCAAAAUUAAUAAUUCUUACUGUAGUUAAACCUAUAUUGUAAAUAUAAAGAGGAUUAUUAGUAGCGGCAUUCUUGCAUAAGUAGCAUCAAGUCAAUAGACCAUAGUGGCCUGGUUGCUUUUGUAAAGCAGAAUAGUGUGAAUUUUUUUCUUCUCAUUUCUGCAGUCGGAUCUGGCUAAUCCAUGCCUAAUUUCUUAGGUCACCUAAACAUUAAAGAUCUCUCAACAAUAAGUAGUCUCUGCUCGCAUAAUUUUAAAUUCCUCCAUUUACACAUCUUGAUUUGAAUUUUAAAAAGACUUGCCCAAUUUGCAUUAACCAGGUCUGACUGUAUAUGUAUAUACAACAGUGUAAAUAACCAUUUGUAAAUUAGUGUGAAUUGUACUGUAUCUUGCAUUUAUGGACUUGUGUAUUGCAUUGUAUUCUCUCCUAUUUUGUAGAAACUUUGAUGUAAAGAAAUCUGACUGUGUGUGGACUUCUUUUGUUAACUUGACCUGUAACAGAGCAUAAUAGUUUUAUGUUAAGGUCUCCAUUUAUAGCCUUGGGCAUCCAGUGUCUUUUUUUCCCCUUAUCUCGCUCUUGGGAAUGAUUCUGGGAACAAAGGAAUUUAUACAGUACUAAGAUGAAGAGAGAGUAUGUCCUAACAGUAGGGCAAAACUGUGUGUUAGAAGUCCAUGCAGUACCUAUCGUGUAGGGAAGGCUGUUAAAAUAGUUUACUUAAACUUCCAAAAAUUUCCUACACGUUCUUGAAUGCUGGUGACUUUUAAACAUAAGCAUGCUGAAGUAUUCCCGAAGUGUGUGCUCCUGUGGUGACAGCAAUUUAAUUUGUUGUAGAAGUCACCCAACUUAAAUGGUUUUGGUGGAUAUAGCCUUAUACUAGGGUUAGUUGCUCACUUGUAAAUGCUUACAAUCAAUGCCCAAGUCACCACAAUAGUUCUGCCAGUCAUGCUUCUCCACACUAGAACUACUGGCAGCCCCUUUAGACUAUUGGAAACUUACCUGAAGUAUUUUCCCUGGUUGCCAUUCCCUCCCACUCCUCCCUGUGCCUACAACCCCACUUCAUUAGGAGAAACAAGGAUGUAAAAAGCUUCCUUUCUAUACUUAAUCACCAUUAUUUCCUCUCUAAAAUAGUGUUUUAUCUGGUCAGUGUGCGACUUCUCAUCAGAAUUUUUUUGUGUAGGAAGUCCCUUUCUGAGGAGUCCUUUCAUCUUGGAAGCAUAGACAUGGUGAAGCGUAGUUUUCCCUAAAUACCCGACUGUAUUUCGUUACUGUUGCCUUUCACUGUUUUGAACUCAAUAGUGUCCUUCAAGCUGUUAGUUUAUUCUUGUUACUACUGUGUUUAAUAACACUGCUGGAAGAUACUGGUAUGCAAAGCUCAUUGUCCAUCUGACAAAUUGAUCUUGGUACGCUUGGUAUGUCCUGUCAGCUUUACCUGCACUGGAGGGUGCACCUGCUUUUUAUCAGUGUUGGCACUUCAAGUUACUAGGGUCCUGGGAAGUGAGCUUAUCAAAGAAGUACUAGUCAAGAGGAGGGAUGGGCUCAGUAAAUACAAGUAAACGGAAGUCAUUCACAUGGAAACUCAGGCUUAAGCUUUUGAUGUAGCAGGGUGCCGAAUAUGCUUGUUUACUUGUGUGGUUUAAGGACAAGAGCAAAUUGUAAAGGGAAAAGUUUGUUUCAAAAUCAAGAUUUCUUUUAAAGCCUUUGGUAGCUGACAAAACCUUACAAAAUGUUCUUACCAAAAGAAAUCAAACCAAAUGUUAGUAACUUGCUGAUUAAACAAAGCUUUAUUCUAUAACCCAAUCUCUUGCUUGGGGUAGUCCUUCCUCUAGUUUGCAGGGGAGGUUGAUCACAGCUGAGUUUGCAGUGGCUGUCUAUUCUUGAUUUGUUGUAAUGUUUUUGUAUAGUUCACUGUGUUCUUGGAUGCCUUCUAAGGUGUGCUAGGUUAUUAAACUACUGGAAUUAGCUACUGUCUCAUACCAUUUCUUCCAUGCCAGGCAGGUUGUAAUUACAGUAAUAGAACAGAAAGCAUCUGAUCAAACCUUCAGGUAAUGCAAGGCAGAUGUUGAGCAGUCUUACAGCUGAUUUUUUGUCCCCCUUUUUAUUGCUGUGGGCUGCAAGCUGUUUCCAUUGCUUGUGAAAGACAUGAAAAGCCAUGACCUUUGGUCUUGUGCGAGGCAGGUGUUCUGAUAGCCAACCACACAAUGUUUAAGAAAAGGGGCUCUCAGCAGUGAGAAACCACACAAAUUCAGGUGGAACAUCUUGGAAGGAACCAGCCUUUGUGGUUUAUAGACCUCUGGAGUGGAAAGGAAAACGUGUGAAACAUUUGUAUGUGCCAGUUAUGAGGAGGCGCUCCAUCUAAGUGAUGUGGUGAGACUUUUUUUAAAGUGAUUUUUCCAGUUGGUCUGAUCUGUAGAAAUUAAAUUCCUGUGAUUAGGAAACCAGUCAGCUUGGGGGAAGAGGGAAGAAACAUUCCGAAAUAUUACUAGAAGAUGUAGGCUGUUGCUUAAUUUGCAACACUUAGAUGAGAGUUGGGCAUUUCUGUGUAUCUAUUACUGUAGGCAGUGUUCUGCACUGGAUUAUUUAGUUAAGGGGUUUUAUUAUUACUAUGAAAUAUCAGAAAACUGACUGGAAUGGGCCUGAAGCCCAUUAUGAUCUUAGAACAGGUGGCCAGACUUCACCAGAUCACCGAACUUCUGGUUCAAGGUUUUAUGUUAGCUGAUCCCGUAGCCUUCUAAACCUUUUGAGCUGCUGUCUUGGGUUGCCUAUGGUGUGGAACUCUCAUGGACUUCUGAAUAAGUUUGAUAUUCUGCUUAUAGACAGAUGACAUAAAGAAAACCUGGUGGAAAUCAAAAGCUGUGUGAACAUUGAGAAAGCAAAUGUUACUUGAAAUCUAACAAACUUUGAAAAUAGAUGCUGAAAUAACUUCAGGUACUGCAUCAGCCUAUUUUUGUGGUAUUGCGACUGUUUUUUCUAUGUUAAGUGUUUUUAUUUUUCUCCACAUAGAGAUCCAUUUAAAACACAAGAUGAAAGAGACCACGGAAGAGAAACAUGAAAAAUGUAUACAGUGCCGUAAAAUGCAGCAUAAACUGGAAAAAAAGUGUAUGUUUCUAAGCUUUUGGUGGUAGUAAUUAUUAAGUGUUAUAAAAAAAAAGUAGGUGUCAAGUUUUCAGUGUAUGAGAGAACUUUUUUUUUCUAGAAAUGUUCCUUUUAACAUUUUGUAUCUCAGUUGCAGUCUGUGGUAGUUAAUAAUGCUGCUUUGUACACAAGUGCUUUGAAUAGUCUCAGCACUGAGAAUGUAUCCAAUCUUUCUUAAAAAAGACUUAAAGUUAGAUUCAUUGGUUCUGUCUCAAGCCUCUUAAUCCAGCUAUCUAAAAACACUUUAAAUACUUGCAGAAACAGGGCUGUAGUUUAUUAGGGAUUUAUUCCAUUUUGUGUCUUUUUUUUUUUUACUGCCUAUUUUCUAAUGUUCUUUUAAACAUGAGUCCAUUUGUCCUGUGAAUAAAAUAAGCUCAACUUAUAAAUAAGCCUUUGUCAUCUUCCAGCACUGUCAUCGUCCCAAAAGUCCCCAUGACUCAUCUUGUAUGUUGUGGAGUUUAGAUGCAUCAUUUAUCCAUUGGAGUGAAUUGUGUUUCUUUUGAACUAAAUGUUAUUGAAGCUGUUAUAAGGCCUUCUACCACUGAUUAAAUGAAGUAAUGUACCUUUCCAAGAGAUUUAUAUUGUGUAAAUAAUUUCAAACUGCAACAAUAAAGUUUGUUUCCAACUGCA